UACGAAGGGGGCUAGCGUUGCUCGGAAUGACUGGGCGUAAAGGGCGCGUAGGCGGAUGGCACAGUCAGAUGUGAAAUUCCCGGGCUUAACCUGGGGGCUGCAUUUGAUACGUGUUGUCUCGAGUGAGGAAGAGGGUCGUGGAAUUCCCAGUGUAGAGGUGAAAUUCGUAGAUAUUGGGAAGAACACCGGUGGCGAAGGCGGCCAUCUGGCCCACAUUUGACGCUGAGGCGCGAAAGCGUGGGGAGCAAACAGG
rnacentral:rRNA from 1 species